rnacentral:lncRNA from 1 species
UCCGGGAUCUGCUCCAGGGUGUCUUUCUCUGAUUGUUAAAUAUUUGGAAUGUCACUGCCAGUCUGGAUGAAUGGGGCCAUGGUGAGUGGUAGCAAAGGAGUAGCAAAACCUGAUGUGGAGACUGCAGAGGAUGGAGCAGGUGGGAUGAGACUGGAGGCAGAGGGGGAGUUAGGAGGCUCUGUGGUCAACAGCCCAGGGGGAAAAUCUGACCAUCUCAUUGCAGUUUGUUUCUUGGCAGCACUCCCUCCUCACCAGCGAUGAGAUCUGGGUGGGACAUCAGCCCCAUCUUUUUAUGGAUAGGGAAAUUGAGGCCAAGGAGACUGAGGUUUGCCACAUCACAGAGCAAGCAAGGACCAGAGCUGGGGCCCCCAGACUCCAGCUGAGGGCUUUCCUCACCAUGCACAUCCCCAGAGCUGGGUUGUUACAUGGCAUAUCCAGGUCAGGAGGAGGAGAGGAGAAGCGAGGAGGACCCGAAGACUGUUGGAAUGGAAGACUGUCAAAUGGAGACGGAACAUCUGGUCCUUGGGUGAGUCCGGGUCAACCUGGUUCUUGCUUGAAAGUAACAGAAAUGAACUGUGGUCAAUUUAAGCAAAAGGGCAUUGACUGGAAGUCUUUGAAGUUAUCCCAGACCCAGGAGGAGACAUUAGGACUGGCCUUAGGCACAGGCAGGAACUAAGAUGAUGAUGGUGAGCCCGGGAAACAGAAGGUGGUCUUGAGGCUGGCACAGGCUGGGGGUAUGCAGCUGUGGCCAAGGCUGACCUUCAGCCUCCUGCUCUGCCAGCAUCCCUCAAGAGUCACCUGGGAGGGGAACUGAGGCCCCAUGUCCACUCCCUGGCUGUGCUAGGGUCAGGAGAAAGAAAAGCUCAGCUUUCAGGCCAGAAAGUAGUUACCUGGAAUCUUCUUCCUGCUGAGACAAUACUCAAGGUGGGAGAGGUCACUCCCUGCCCCCACCCCUCAAAUCCGGGUGAUGUUAGAAAAUGGGCUUUGGGGAAUCAACAUCCAAUAAAUACUGGCUGGCUAGGGUUCUUCGGGCCUUCCCUUCUCCCUGGGGUCCCCCUCCACCCUGUACUCCCCAUCCCAGUCCCUGAGCGCUCUCCUCCCUCCCUCAAGUUCUCCCAGGGACAGUUUUUCAUUUCAGCUGCUGCAAUAUCUGCUCCGGCAAU